AUGGUCAUUGGUAGAGUGCAUUUGAGGUCAAGUAUGAGCCUCCUGCACUUCAGCUCUAUACAGAUCUGUGCAGGAGCAAAGAGGAGUCAAAUUUCUGGAAGCAAUCUAGCCAUAACAAAUGAAGACUGUGUUGCUUCAAGACUUUUAGGUGUAAGAGAAGCCAUGUCUUUUCCUGACAGAGAGGACUAAGAAAUGCAGUGCUAUAAUAGAUUGGACUUUGGACUGUCUUCUGUGAGGAGUAGUGGAAGAUCCUCCACAGGAAGAAGGGAACAAAGGGAUAUUUAACGGCCAGAAGAGUGAACUGUGGUGGAGACUGUUACUGCUAACCAAGUUGGCUCACCAUGCCCUCGUCUAAGAUGCUGUCCAGUAAUUUUCCUUUCUUGUAAUGUCUUUCUGAUCUUUAGGUAUCAAUGUUUUGUGGGCCUUAUAAAAUGAGUUUGAAUGUUUUCUUUCUUCUAUUUUCUGGAGGCCAGUAACACUUCUGCAGGCCAGUAUUAUUUAUCCCUUAAAUUUUUGUGAAGCCAUCUGGGUUUUCUUUGUGGAAAGAGUUUUAAAUUCAGAUUUGAUUUCUUUGGUAGAUACAGGGCUAUUGGUAUUUUAAAAUUUCUUCUUCUGGCAAUUUUGACAAAUUGUAUUUUAAGAAACUUAUAUGUUUCACUUAUAUUUUCUAAUUUAUUAUCAUAAAUAUUGGCAUAUAGACUGCUGAUUUAUUGGCAUAAAGUUGUUUCUAACAUCCUCUAAUUAUCUUUUUAAUGUCUGUAAGGCCAGUAGUGAUAUUCUCUUUUUCAAACCUAGUUUUUGUAUUUAUGUUUUUUUUCUCUUUUGCUCUCCCUUAAAUUGUCUUGCCAGGAGUUUAUUAAGCAUAUUAAUUUAUUCAAAGAAUAAGCUUUUGAGUUUGUUGAUUUUCUCUAUUAAAUAUUUGUUUUCUAUUUCAUUGAUCCUGCUCUGUAUUCCUCUCUUCUAUGUUUUGAGGGGGUUAGUAUACUUUUAAGAAAAAUUUUUCUUACAUAGAGACAGGGUCUCACUAUGUUUCCCAGGCUUGUCUCAAACUCCUGGGCUUAAGCAAUUUUCCAGCUUUGGCCUCCCAAAGUGAUGGGAUCGCAAGUGUGAGCCACCAUGCCUGGCCAUUUUUCUAGCUUUUUGAGUUGAGAACUUAGAUCAUUGGUUGUUUUUGUUUUUGUUUUUUGAGAUGGAGUUUUGCUCUGUCACCCAGGCUGGAGUGCAGUGGUGCGAUCUUGGCUCACUGCAACCUCCACCUCCCAGGUUCAAACAAUUCUCCUACCUCAGCCUCCUGAGUAGCUGAGAUUAUAGGUGGUUGCUACCACACCUGGCUAAUUUUUGUAUUUUCAGUAGAGAUGGGGUUUCACAUGGUGGCCAGGCUGGUCUUGAACUCCCUGCCUCAGAUGAUCCGCCUGCCUCAGCUUCCCAAAGUGCUGGGAUUACAGGCAUGAGCCACCAUACCCACCCAGAUCAUUGGUUCUUAAGCUUUCUUAUUUUUUAAUAUAUGGACUGAAAAGUAUAUGUUUCCUUCUAGACACUGCUUUAGUGGUGUUAUUGACUACAUUGCCUCUCUUCUCCCCACAUAUCCAAUAGUGAAAGACUUCUAAUGACAGAAAUGCAAAUGGAUCUGCAUGAAUCUCUGAGUCAGUGUCUGGAGGAGAGCCAUGCAGGAGUGUGCCUCACAUGCAUUGGCUUGUAAUAUAUGCAAGAAACAUGUCUGUGAUGUGUUGGACUACUUUCUUUCUUUUUUAAGAGGCUUGCUAUGGCCUGUCCUAUCCUAGCUGUUACAAGAGGGCUUGUUUUACAUCAGCUCUUAUAUCUGUCCAUAUUGCAGUUUGCCAAGAUUUCUCGUUGAUUCCCCCAAACAUCAAUAUUAGGGGAUUGUUGUUGUAAGGGUUUUUCAUGAAGAUGAGGGGUAUUAUAGCAUAGCACACAAUACAAAACAACUUCACAUUUAAUAUACAUUCCCCUCCUUCCCACAGAGGAUUCUUCAUUGUCUGUCUUUCAGGUUUGGCCCUCACCUAUUGUCAAGUUUUAAGGUCCCCUUCUCUAUUUAAACCCUUUCCUCACGUUCCAUAUUCACGCUUCUUCCCACAUGUCCUAUUCCAAAGCAACCCAAAGUUCUCCAGCUUUGCUAUUGUAGCUUUUCUUUACCUUGGAUAAAAUCAGAUUCUUACUCAAGGUCUCUUUUCUACUGAUCAAAGCAUACUCAGAUGUCUAGGGGGCAGAAAUGGAGCAGUGGGAAGCCUGUUGAAGAAACAGGGCAGGCCCUCCUCAGCUGAGAGCUUGCUUCCCCAGAAUCUAGAGUGGUA
rnacentral:lncRNA from 1 species